GUCAAACUUGAUAAGAUAUUUUGUCAAAUGUCAAAUUGACAUUCUUUAGCAAAAACAUAUUGUCUUUUUACCUUCGUAUUUUUCUUUAAAUCUAUACAGACUAACGUUUCAAUUUUGUACUUAGAAGUUUAUCGUGUAGAAUCUUCUUGUAUGUAUUGGUGCAUAUAUUUGGUCAACAGUUAUAAAGUUUCAUAACCUAAAAUAGCUGCUAAACGGUGAAAUCACGUUCGAUGUUUAUGUGAUAAACUAAAUUUAAUUUGGUAUAUUGAAAAUUUAUGAUUUUAUAAAAACUUUAAUAAAGAGUAAUUUCAUUAAAAAUACCAAAUAAUAAAAAGGAUGUCGUCAGAUAUCAUAGCCUGUCUCCAAUUGGAUAAAGAAUUAUCUAAUAGAGUGAUUGUUGCUAAGGAGAUAAAUGGCUGUGAUAGCUCAUUCAUUGUUAGUUGUGUACUAAACCACUGUGUCAAAAAUAAACAUCCAGUGUUCAUAUUGUCAACACAUCACUCUUUGCAGCAUUACCAAAAUAUCAGUCUAAAAAUGAAUUAUAAUUUACAAAGACAUAUGGACUCGGGAAUUAUAGGUUUCUUUAAUAUAGGGGAAGAUGCUGUUGAAAAGUUAUUUAGAAAUGAAAAUAAUUCAUUACAAGAAUUGAUAUUCACAAUCAAAGAAAAUAUAUGUAAAUUACAAUGUGAAACAAAUAAUUCUGUUAAUAUUAUCCUGGAUGGAGUCUCACAUCUCUUUGAUUUGGGUUAUGAUUUAAGGGAAGUUAAUCAGUUUUUAAGAAAUAUCAUUGUUCUAACAUAUGAGACAAAUGCAUUUAUAUUAUGUCUUUGUAAUUCUGCAGAAGAUGAUGAUGCUACACAAACAAUAUCCAACCUAUUAUCUCAUAAAGCUGAUACAGUAUUGGAAGUUGAAAACUUGCCAUCAGGCUUAAGUGCAGAUGUGUCUGGGCAUUUGACAAUUAAACAUCCAGGUCAAAAAUGGCAAAAUGACCAUAUGAACACAUUAAAUUUCAAACCAUCUAAAUACCUUUUCAAAUUAUUUGAUAGAGGUGUUAAAUUGUUAGCACCUGGUACUGUUUAAUGUAUUUUUCUUGAUUUGAAAUUUUUUUUCCUAAUGUCUUGUUAUGUAUGUAUGUAUUUUAGAAUGAAUUAAUGAAUAAAUAACAUUAAAA
rnacentral:misc_RNA from 1 species